rnacentral:rRNA from 1 species
GAUGAACGCUAGCGAUAGGCCUAACACAUGCAAGUCGAGGGGCAGCACAUGAGUAGCAAUACGAUGGUGGCGACCGGCGCAACGGGUGAGUAACACGUAUGCAACCUACCUUUAACAGGGGGAUAACCCGUUGAAAGACGGACUAAUACUCCAUGACACAGGGGUCCCGCAUGGGAAUAUUUGUUAAAGAUUUAUCGGUUGAAGAUGGGCAUGCGUUCCAUUAGCUAGUUGGUGAGGUAACGGCCCACCAAGGCAACGAUGGAUAGGGGAACUGAGAGGUUUAUCCCCCACACUGGAACUGAGACACGGUCCAGACUCCUACGGGAGCAGCAGUGAGGAAUAUUGGUCAAUGGAGGCAACUCUGAACCAGCCAAGUCGCGUGAAGGAUGAAGGUCUUAUGGAUUGUAAACUUCUUUUCAAGGGUAAUAAAGGUGGGGACGUGUCCUCCUUUGCAUGUACCUUGCGAAUAAGGAUCGGCUAACUCCGUGCCAGCAGCCGCGGUAAUU